rnacentral:rRNA from 1 species
UACGUAGGGGGAAAGCGUUGUCCGGAAUCAUUGGGCGUAAAGAGCGUGUAGGUGGCUCGGUAAGUCCGCUGUGAAAGUCCAGGGCUCAACCCUGGAAAGCCGGUGGAAACUGUCGAGCUCGAGUCCGGAAGAGGCGAGUGGAAUUCCUGGUGUAGCGGUGAAAUGCGCAGAUAUCAGGAGGAACACCAAUGGCGAAGGCAGCUCGCUGGGACGGUACUGACACUGAGACGCGAAAGCGUGGGGAGCAAACAGG